GACGCACGCUGGCGGCGUGCUUAACACAUGCAAGUCGAGCGGAGCGGCGAACGGGUGAGUAACGCGUGAGUAACUGCCCCCCUCUCUGGGAUAACAGUUGGAAACGGCUGCUAAUACCGGAUAGUGGGGGAUGGCUCGAGGCCUAUAAGCUUGGUGGUGGGGUGAUGGCGUACCAGGGCGGAGACGGGUAGCCGUCCUGAGAGGGUGACCGGCGACAUUGGGCUGAGAUACGGCCCAGACGCAUACGUGAGGGAGCAGUGGGGGAUAUUGCACAAUGGGCGAAAGCCUGAUGCAGCGGCGCCGCGUGGGGGAUGAAGGCUUUCGGGUUGGAAACCUCUUUCGCUAUCGAACAGGUAGGUGGAGAAGAAGCUCCGGCUAACUACGUGCCAGCAGCCGCGGUAAUAC
rnacentral:rRNA from 1 species